GAGUACUGCCCAUUCUUUUCAUCUAGCUGUUGGUUUUGUUUUUCUCAGUGAUAUAUUUAUUUUCGUUUGAGAAGAAGUUAAUUAAAAUUGAAAAUGAGAUACGUGCGGAAGACUACGUGGCAGUCGUGGACAAAAACAAGCUUAAGAGCGGAUAUUAAUGCAGUCAAAUUGGGUGCAUCAAUCCCUGCUUCAGCUAAGCUGCAUGCUAUACCUAGAAGAACGUUGCUCCGCUAUUUGGACAAACAAAACGAAAUUGGGAGACUGGAACUCUGUCAGAUGGACCGGUUUAAAACCGUAUUUACCGAAAACCAGGAAAAGGAUUUUGUGAUUCACAUCGUUCAUAUGUCAAAUUGUGGAUUUGGACUAACACAUAGACAUCCGAAGAAGAACAUACCAAAAGGCCGAGAAACACCACAUUGCACAUACUUUCACCCUUUCCUUGGAAGGCAUUCGGGUCUCAGCCUACGAAAGGCGGAAAAUACAUCGCUAGCUCGCAUUAAAGGGUGUAAUAAAAAAGCGGUCGACUCGUUCAAUCAGCUCCUACGAAAGAUGUAUACGGAAUAUAAUUAUUCCUAGGAGAAAAUUUGUAAUAUAAAAGAAACUGGCUUUAGCACAGUUCAAAACAAAUCCGUCAGAGUGUUCGCAAAGAACAAAAGCAUCAGAUAGCGGGAAUUUCAUCUGUGUUUUGUGUUUGCUCGAGCCAGAAUGAACAAAUACUUCUAAAUUGGAGCCCCCGAGAACUCCUUGUUUAUGUGCCAUCCCAUCGGCUGGAGCAACUCCAAUACCCGUAGUUUGUAGUUUGAGCACUUUCUGGUAAAACAAACAGCUGAUGCUGUUAAUGAUAUUUUUUGUUCCACUUGUGGAGAUUUGUUCAGUUCAUCUGGAAAUGGCAAUGGAUGGAAUAGAUGCCUCCGUUGCUAUUCUUGGUUCUAUCAGGUUACCUUGAAACACAGUACAUGUUACUGAAAUAUGAAAUGUUACUUCGCUAAGAAAUAAAAUAUUGUUUUUUUUUUCAUGGAAUAAAUUGAUUUUGAUAUGACAUAA